CUAUGAGUCCACAGGUGAAUAAAGCAAUAGUAUUUUAUAAUUUUUUUUAAAAAGGAUGUACUACAAUCUUCUCUAGAAUCUUCUCUUGACUCUCUACCACACCGCAACAAAUUCUUCAUCCUGGAAGUUCAUACUCCUGAAACCCCUUCCUCUGAUUGUCUGGAUUCUCCUCAAGUUUCCAUUUAAAGGAAAGCACCCAGAGGAGUUCAUUCUGACUUGUGGAAGCUACAGUGUGUUGUAAUCCAAUCACCAGUAGACAGAAAGAAGAUGAGAAUUUGGUUAUUAACUUGAAGCUAAGAUAGCAUCAUUUUCAGAGAGAACCCAAAGCCUGAAAAGAUAAAAGGAGAAAAAGGUAAAAGACAGUUUUUCACAACUGUGCCAGCUAUAUUUAAAGUCAAAAGUGAUGGAUACUAUGGUUUCUUUGUCAUUUAAGCAGAGGAAAAGUUUGGAAG
rnacentral:lncRNA from 1 species